CCUACGGGUGGCAGCAGUGAGGAAUAUUGGUCAAUGGGCGGAAGCCUGAACCAGCCAAGUCGCGUGAGGGAGGAAGGCCCUGCGGGUCGUAAACCUCUUUUGCCGGGGAACAGAGGUCCGGACGUGUCCGGGCCGGGAUAGUACCCGGACAAAAAGCAUCGGCUAACUCCGUGCCAGCAGCCGGGGUAAUACGGAGGAUGCGAGCGUUAUCCGGAUUUAUUGGGUUUAAAGGGUGCGUAGGCGGGCAUUUAAGCCGGCGGUCAAAUGUCGGGGCCCAACCCCGGCCGGCCGUCGGAACUGGGUGCCGUGAGUGGGCGAGAAGUAUGCGGAAUGCGUGGUGUAGCGGUGAAAUGCAUAGAUAUCACGCAGAGCCCCGAUUGCGAAGGCAGCAGACCGGCGCCCUACUGACGCUGAGGCACGAAAGUGCGGGUAUCGAACAGGAUUAGAUACCCUUGUAGUC
rnacentral:rRNA from 1 species